rnacentral:rRNA from 1 species
CGGCAACAGCUCAAAUUUGAAAUCUGGCCUCUUUUGGGGUCCGAGUUGUAAUUUGUAGAGGAUGUUUUGGGUACCGCACUGGUUUAAAUUUCUUGGAACAGAAUGUCAGAGAGGGUGAGAAU